AUGCCAGCUCCAGAAGACUCAGGAAUCUUUCCUUUCCAGAGCUUGCUUCAGCCCGUUGGUUCUCCUCCAGAAGGAGUACCAACGGGCUUCGAGCUGUCACAGCUCCCACCUCGCCUCCAUAGAUGGUUUCAGCGUAAGCCGGCAGCCAAAGAAACAGCAGCCCUUGAGGCCUUGGCGAAUUGCAUUCUGAAGGGCCGCAAUCAGUCGUCUUUGGGUGCUGAGCCUGCCCUCCAAGGCCGUGAAGGGCGGCAGAAGGCACCUGCGACUGCUGAAUGGCCAGUGCGNUCCUGCAUGCAAGACCCGGUACAACCGAUGGCAGCACAAUUGUCCAUAUCCAGAUAAGCCUGCUCUGCCACCCCUCUGUGGUGGGGGCCACCAUUCCUGCUGGCCUCAGCACCCUGCUACGGCUUUUGUUUGAGGCACCUUUGUUUUUCGCCAUGGCCCACUGCGGGCGGUGCAAGGCACAUGUCCACUGCCUUCCCUCGACCUCUGGGCUGCUCUGGGCUCGUGGCCUACCUUGCGGCCUCCUCCUGAGACCCAUACAGGGCUGAAGCCGCCAUUUUGACUACCUCCUUCCUCUGAACGGCAUGUAUAUAUAUGUACAUAUGUAAAAUAAUAAUAAUAAUAAUAAUUUUUUAAAAAAGGAGAAGGGGGAAACAAUGGGGGGGCAUCACCCAUAAGGAGGCUCCCACCCUACCAGGCUUUCUCCUAUGCUCUGCUUUCAGCCUCCCAAAGCCUCUUACAUGGAUCAGAAACCAGUAGUUCCAUCUUCCUCAGUGAGGCCCAAGCCCCCCCCAUCUCNGCACCCUCCAGCUCCACCCACCUUCUUCUUCUCGGGCAUGAAAGCCUCCAUGACCCAGUUUACUAAUGCUCUGGUGGGCUCUNUGAUGGGCUCCUUCAUGCAAUUCAUGUCUAAUCAGGGUGCUCAGAAUGCCCAAAGCCUUCUGUCGACCUCGUACGAGCCUACCUUGCAGGGCUCCACUUCUACAACUCAUGCAGUCAAGUAUCU
rnacentral:lncRNA from 1 species